AUGGCAGACCAAAGUGGUCCACGGCGUCCUGAAACUGCACCAUUCAGUCCGAUUAGGGGACUCAUCUCGGACUCAGACUCAAAGAGUUACCCUCCUCUGGAGCCUCAGGAAGACCUCCAGACUGUUGGCCACCAAUUGCACCAUUCAGUCCGACAAGGGGACCCGAUUCGGCCUCAGAAGCCAAGUGGUCCCGCUCCCCUGGAUGAUUCUCAGGACCUCCAGACCGUUGGCAACCAACCGCACCACUCAGUCCAAUUGGGGGACCCAUUUCGGACUCAGACGCGACGUUGUCCCGCUACUCUGGAGCUCCAGGAAGACCUCCAGACCGUUGGCACCCAACCGCACCACUCAGUCCGAUUACGGGACCCAUUUGGGACUCAGACGCGACGUUGUCCCGCUACUCUGGAGCUCCAGGAAGACCUCCAGAGCGUUGGCACCCAACCGCACCACUCAGUCCGAUUACGGGACCCAUUUCGGACUCAGACGCAACGUUGUCCCGCUACUCUGGAGCUCCAGGAAGACCUCCAGACCGUUGGCACCCAACCGCACCACUCAGUCCGAUUACGGGACCCAUUUGGGACUCAGACGCGACGUUGUCCCGCUACUCUGGAGCUCCAGGAAGACCUCCAGACCGUUGGCACCCAACCGCACCACUCAGUCCGAUUACGGGACCCAUUUCGGACUCAGACGCGACGUUGUCCCGCUACUCUGGAGCUCCAGGAAGACCUCCAGACCGUUGGCAACCAACCGCCACACUCAGUCCGAUUACGGGACCCAUUUCGGACUCAGACCCGACGUUGUCCCGCUAAUCUGGAGCUCCAGGAAGACCUCCAGACCGUUGGCAAACAACCGCACCAUUCAGUCCGAUUAGGGGACCCAUUUCGGCCUCAGACGCUACGUUGUCCCGCUACUCUGUUUGUGAUGCUCAUACACCUUUCUUAUACUCAGUGGGACCACUGUCCUUCAACAUGGGGCCUCAAAACGGUAUCACACGAAGCCCAUAAAAUUACAGUGAGCCACCUGCUAAAUUUCUUGUUUACUAGAGCCCUGGUAGAUAUUAUGACCCCUGGGAGUCUAAACACAACCCAUGGGAGUCUAAACACAACCCAUGGUAGUCUAGAACUUUUGUACUUUUGUAAAAUAACGCUUAGGGGGUGGGGCAUUGGAGGAAGGCGGGAUGAUUUGAAUGUGCUGUAA
rnacentral:lncRNA from 1 species